AAACUUGGAGCAAGCUCUAUAUAAUCAGCUCCCUAAUAAAAAUCCUCCAGGGUGGGAACACAGCAAAGGUAAUUAAGGUCGUAGCGAUAUGAUAUAGCUUUGCUUGCUCCAUA
rnacentral:SRP_RNA from 1 species